rnacentral:tRNA from 1 species
GCCGACAUGGUGGAAUUGGUAGACACGCUAUCUUGAGGGGGUAGUGACUUAGGUCGUGAGAGUUCGAGUCUCUCUGCCGGCACCA